CCGGUAUUUACCAUCUGGCCCAAUCACAGUAACAAGCUGAGCACUUCUGAAUAAAAGACAUUUUUCCUCAAAAUUUAUACUGCCUCCAGUGCCAGUAUUCUCUAUGGACCCUGAGCACAUAAUUAUUUCAUGGGGUAUCCUGCACAUAGAUCCAAGCAGAUGCCGGGACAUCCUGCAGAAGUACCCACUGAGGGUUUAGGCUUUCCAAGGCACACAGGUCGUGCUUGACAUCUGGUUGCUGCAAAGACUAACACAAAAAUGUAUGAGAAAUUUAAUUGUGUUCCCAAGAGCUGCAUCCCCGUUGAGCUGUGAACCCAGGCUUCCUUUGGCCUUUUUUGUGUGACAGUAUCUGUCGAACAACUUCUUCAAGAUGUCUCCUGGCAGCUUCUACCGGAUGCAUGCCAUUAUCUACUGUGCUGUCUCCUUGGGAAGGACCUCCACAUCCAACAGGUCAUGCAUUCUGUCAGCCAUAUCAGCUUGCCUAAGAAAGAUCCUGCCACUCCAUGUGAACUUGCUCUCCUGAAUGCUGUAAACCACCAGCACUCACAAAGGCACAAAUGUCAUGCACCUUUCUGAGAUGUUCCUGUCCAGCUCCAGGUUUCCCUCUCUCUUUCAGUCUUCAUGCUUCCUUCACACAACAAGGUUUUCACUUUCUUUCUGUUUCCCUUUAGCGCCACUCUUUUAGCCAAGUUAUUCUUCACCCUCCCAUCUUCUCCUAACUGACACAUCUGUUCACAUGCUCAAACUAUCACUUCUUUGAGGAAAUGCCAGUUCUCCCUCACUUCUUUUCUUUCUUCUCUCCCAUGGAAUCUGUCAAGAGUAGUUUUCUCCAUUCAUUUAUCCUCAGAUACGCAGUCCUUGAUGAGAAGCUCGGCGUAGGUCCCAGGGGCAUACUUUGUUAUUAUUAUUUUCAUAAAGAACAACAACAACAACAACAAAAAUCCAGACACAAGUUAAAAAUUGUAAAUCUUUCACUUGUCUUUAUCGGAGAUUCCAUAUAGACUGGGGAAAUCUUCAGCCUGAGCCUUGGAGAUGAACAAAUAAAAAAAUCAAAUACAAAUUCAAUAAAUAAUAUAAUGAGCUCUUCAAACCUUCUGGAAAAGUUUAAUAAAUCCGAGAUACUUAAACACAUGUUUACCAUAUAACUAUUUGUAGGAACAUGGUACGUAUCAAAAAGUAAAAUGUACUUGCAUUCUUGUAGAGACAUAUUCUAAGGUGUGAGAAGAUUGUCCCAGUCAACAAAUGUCCUUCGCUUUCAAAGGCUGAACUAUUUUCUCAUAUAAAUAAAAGGACAAGCCAAUAAGUGACGGUUAUUUCAGUGGAGAAAAGUAACAGCUAAUCCUGGAGUUGAUUUUUCAUCGCAGACUGCAUUUGACAGCUUUGAAUUCAUCCUAAUUGUGAAAAAACACAAGAUGGUUAAAACAUCCUGUGUAAACAAGAAUGAAGACAUUGAUUGAAAUAAGCUUUUGGAAAGAGGCUGUUGUUUGUAAUACAAAGAAAUAGAAGAUUAUAUCCCAAAAGAAAAGUGUUCAAUGUUAUUAAAAUUAUAUUUCCAAUUUCUUUCCUUCCGUUGAUUUUUUUUUUAAUUGGAGGGCCAAAAUAUCCUCAGGACAGCGAGCUGCAGUCAGCAUUUUGCAAGAAGAAUCUUUCCAUUGGAAGACUUCCAACCAGGUCUCCAUUUCAGUUCUGCAGAACAUAUAAUUGAUUUUUCCAUAUAGUUAUAGUCUAUUAGAUGCAUUUAAAUCUUUACAUUGCUGCCUGUUUGAUGUGGGCGACAUAUUUUAUCCACUGUAAAUGGUAAUUUCUUCUUUCCAGUUUUCUAGGUGGAAUUCUGCAGUUACUAUCCACAAGCUGAGGUCCAGACUUUGGUGUUGGAAUUCUUGCUCUUUCACUGUGGCAUAACCUACCUAUGCUUGCAGCCACACAACUGUUGGGGUGACAGCAUGUACACAAACAGCUAAUCUGUAUGAGAACACCAGGCAUAGCAACACACUUGCUCAUCUAUAUGAACAAGUGAACUGACACCACAUUCAGUUUUUCACUAAAGCAAUUGUAUCUAGAAAUUAUGGGUCUGCUCUACUGUGAACUUCCCUUCAUACACACAAUGAAAAAUCCCAAAUCUUUCUGAGGUUCUAAAAAGGAUUAAAAAAAAUCCCUCUUUCUUCCAGUUCAUUGUUGGAUAUGUUAACCAGGAUCAGAGACGUUCCUUUGAAGUUACAAAUGGGAACUGAAGACUGAAGAGCUACAGCUGUUUCAAGGCUGGUCACCUCUCAAAAAAACAAACCUUUGGAGGAUGUGCAUGUGGAGGUAGCUUCCGCUGCCCAAAGCAUCCCUGCUCCACCAGCAGCAUCCCAUGUGGUGUGGACUCAACUUUGGAGGGGCUUUCCCAAAAGUGUCAUCUACUUGGAGCCAAGUGGUAGCCCUGCAGCACAGACAAAACCCCUCCGCCAUGCCCUGCCCUGACUGCCCGCAGCCUCCUGAGCCCAUUCAGAGAAUCACAGAAUCACAGAAAGGGACUCUAUGAAGGGCCCUGAAACUGAUCAUUGAACUCCAGCCCCCUGCGGUGGGCAGGGCUGUCACCCACCAGAUCAGGCUGCACAGGGCCACAUCCAGCCUGGCUUUGAGCACCUCCAGUGAUAGGGCAUUCCCUCCUUCCUUUCAGGACAUGACCGGGUCUGGUGACCAAAUCACUUCCCACACAGGGAAGCACUAGUGGAGCUAGAUCCAGCUCUCCUAAUUAUCACACAGAGCCUGUAGACUGUUAACAGCAGCCCACAUUAGCAUGGAGCCAAGUCCUUAGUGUGCUGUGAUAAUAACAGUGUUUAAUAGAAUUAGGGGAAGUAUAUAAUCAGAAUAAGACUGCUGUGUGUACACAAAGGCAAGAUUAAUACACAACCAGUGAGCCGGCGCUAAGUCGAUAAAGUGGAAUUCACUGGGAGCCAGGAUAGCAGACAGGUAAACAUUAAUCUCUGUGUGUGAUGUGGAGUUUAGAGAUCAGAUGUUACUCGAAACCCGUGCAGAUGCAUGGGGUAUUUGGAGGGCACCACAGCCUCUGUUACCUUACACUCCUCAUGUGGAGCAGGAAGAGCUGCAUUCUUUGUGAUUAACCCAGCUUGAACUUUGAAAUGUGACUCCCAAAUAUUUGCGAGAAUACUGCAACUAAGACAAAGGAGUGGGGCUUUAAAGACCCUGUGGUUCUACAGUGUGCAGCUAGCUUCCUGCGGGGCUUAGGGCAAGUCCCUGCACCUCCCGGGACCUCAAUUGCCCAUGAAUUUCCUCCAAAUAGAUUUCCUUUGCACAUCUUAUUUCCAUGGGGAAUUAGUAUGGAAGUUUCAGAAGGGAAACACAAGAAGGCUAAAUGAGAAACUUCAACACCCAAACUAAAACUGUGGGGGAGUUUUUCUUAUUUCAAGGAAGAAGAGCACAGUUGGUCACAAAGCUAGCAAACAUUUCCAGCUUCGAAAGAGGUCUGUGCCUAAAUACCUGGGUACUGCUCUGUUACUGAUCUCAUACCCACACAUACCAGUAUUUCACCACAUUCAAUUGGUUGAUCAGCCACCUGAAGGUGCCAGAAGGCAUCAUCUUUCCAGGGAUCGCUGAUGGAUAGUUGUAAAUUUCUUAGGUCAAGAAAGAAAGUUUUGUAUUCUGGGGGCUUUAAUACAGACAUAUUGCCCAGCUUUGGCUGGCCAUUAAAUUAAUCCCUUUCUUUCCAGAAGCAAUCACAAGGGAUCCCAAAUGAUAAGCUGAGGAGAACCCCAGGGAUUCCAUCACCCCUGGAUGCAGUGUGCCCACAUUUAGAGCAGGAGUAGGGAAGGUCUCAGCUCCUGCAGCCCAGGACACCGUACUUCAAUGAGCCCCAGCCAGCACAACCUACUUAUUUUACCCUUGUGAAAGUGCUUUAACUUCAGAAUAAAAUAUUGUUUUACCCUCUGCCCUGCUGCUCUGUGUAACUCCAGUGUCAGCUUCCAAAACUAUAACAAACCUCCUAAACAAACAGAUUUUAAGCUCUGCUUCCAAACCAGGCUGGGUAAGGAGCAAGCAAGCUGAAUUAGAUGCAGGAGCCGAUUCAUCACCCCUUCCUCUGCCUCCUGGUCCCCCUGCCAUUUUGGGCAUUCCCAGCUGUGUCACCUGCAUGACAAACAGGGCUGAAGGAGUUGUUUUUGCAAGGUGCCAGUGGCCAGUCAGCCUCUUUGCAAGGUGAGGGCGAGCUGCCAGCUGUCUCCUCAAGGAGCACAGCCCUGGAAGCCAGCAGAGCAGGAGGAGAGGGAGGGUAUGGAAACUUCCCAGGGGAGGAUUGUUGCAGAGACUGAACAGGCUCUGCUCUAUCCAAGCACAAGGAAAUGUAUUAAUGUCAGGCCCAAGUGCCCUGCUUUGUCUCAUGACAGCACCUUCGCAAACAUCUCAAACAUUUGUUUUCUUUUGUGCAGCCUCACAUGCCACCACCCAGCACCAACAAAUAGAAGCUCCAUACUUUUUAAGCACAGCCUUAUGAGGAAAUACUGUUACAAUGAGCCGCAGCUCUGUCCUGGCAUGGCGAUAAAAAUGCUGGCAGAGAUGGGAGGCAGAGCAUGUGCAGAGCAGCAGCUGCAAGAGGGGCCUGUGGCAAUUGCAAUGGCUCCCAGGAGCCAAUGGGGAGAAUGGGCCAUACAGAAAAAUCCAGGAGACCUCUUAGGAAGGACUUGCUAUGGGGUUAGUUAAAGCUGUUUUACGACUCUCUGGACUGGGAAAGAAACAAGCAAGUCCUGUUUUUCUGAGGUACAGUGAACUGUGUCACUGCUGUAGCACCAGAAGGAGCUGCCGCCCUGCAAGAAG
rnacentral:lncRNA from 1 species